rnacentral:lncRNA from 1 species
GCGAUGGCACCAUCGCCCACGGCGACGAUUUACCUCGGCUCAGCCCUUUUUAGCAAUUUUUGGUUGAAUUCGACAGGUUUUGUACCAAUCUCUGCGAGAAAAUAUGUCAAGGGAUCUCGGUUGACUGAUAAAAGUCAAAAAACCGAAACUCACCGGCGGCAGGUUUCUCCAGUGCGGCGGCACCGCCAGCUCAUGUUCGCAAUUGGGUAUUUUGCUUCAGUCAACCUGUAGAGAAGGAAACGGUG